CUUUGCAGUCUGCUCCAAGUGUUUUAAUUGGAGUUAAACGCUCAGUCUGUAGAUAUUUGGUAGGAGAAAUUGUUACAUGUUUAUUUGACGAAAACUUAGUAAUUAAUAUCUAUUUACCUCGGUUAUAUGGUAAAUACUUCUUGGGCAAGACUCAUUCUAUUCAUUUUAAACCUUUUUCAUUUGCUUUUAGCUAUAUUUCGAACAUAAAACUUACCUUGACGGUGAGAUAAAUCAUACAACUCAACAUUUGUACUCCUGCGCAUAUUUCUCGUUCCGGCAAAGAAUUAUAGCCCGGACACUCCGUUUGUCCGACGGCACUUAUAUUUGGUAUUGAAAUGGUUCCUCUCCACUAUUAGUUUUGGUUAAAAACACAAAAUUUGGGAACAAAUAAACAAACUACAUUUGGAGUUCAUAUCGACUUGACAGCAAUGACAAGUGACAUGUACGUUUGUAUCUGUAUUUCAAGAUGGCGGUCGAUGAAGUGUGGUAGCCACACUCGUUGGUAAAAUAACAUAAUCAUUGCCUUUAUGAACUUUCUAUUUGGAAAUGUUGUCCAUAUUUUUGGCUUUCUAAAUAUAUAAUUAUUUCCAUGUUUGAAAUUGAUGAAGUUUCUGGUUUUGUUAGUACAUUCAUUUGGUAAGAGCGAGUGUGUGUCGCGGGCAUACGUCAUUCGAUGCAUUCACUCAGAAAUGUGUCAGUCGGAAUGAACUUGCAUUUGUCGAGUCAUUUGCUCAUUUGCUGUUCAAUUGGAGAAUUGGAGACAUCUUGACAUUAAAGGUCGGUGCGUUCUGCCAAAAUGGAGGUGAGUAGCUUUGUCUGAAGAAAUCUAAACUCAGUUCUUUUUCUUUUUGUGUGAUUAGUGCGUAUAGUGAUAAAAUGUAUUCUUGUUACAGCGUGAUGUGUAAAACAAGGUGUUUUAAUCGCCCAACCCCGUUGUAGCAAGCGGGGAUUCAUUUUGUGAUUUCGUCGUACAUGUGGUAUGUAUUCUUGUGAAAUCAUUAUCGAUGUGGACGAGGGAACAUUUAGUUUGUUUAACAAGUGUCUAACUACGUUGUCGUAAACGAUUUCAGCUGCCCGUCUCGAGAAUGCCGAUCGAAGCCGAGGGGGAGAAGCACGUGUUCCCGGCGCUUCUAUAGAAACCGGGGAAAUAAACCCGUAAGUACAACUAGACACGGUUUUUGGACUUUCUGGAAUUUUUGGAAUUUCUGGACUUUCUAGUCAUGGCGGGAGUUACACAUCCCGUCGCAAGCCUUGAGCAGGGUGGCUAGUUCCCGGCUCAUAUCCUGGAGGCACUACAAGAUCUCGGAUGAAUAGUGUUUCGAGUUACGUAUGAGUACCAUAUAUUAGUAGUUGGGUUUGAUGGGAUCGAUACUACUCCCUGUACGAAAACGUACUAGUGAUAGCUGUUAAUUUAUACACCUGGUGGAGACGUUGUAGCAGCGUACUCCCAGAUGCCUGGUGACCGAGCGAGGUGACCCCUUAUUAUUAUUAUGUCUGGCCAACUUUAUGAAGUAGAUUAAGGCGAAUGUAAAGAAGGCAAUGUAUAUAUCCACCUAGUUAAGGGUUUCCAACCUCGCUCAUGUCUACGCCUGUAGUAAAUUAAUUAUUAUUUUAUAUUAAUAGCACAGACAAUAGUACCUUAAGCCUCUCUUAAAUUUAAUAUUGUAAUCGGUAUAACAAUUUCGUGUAUUUGCUAAGAAGAAGAAUACAGUGUAUAUUUUAAGUAA